UGUUUGUUUGGCGUUUCAGCUGCGCUGAACUGAAUAUGGGAUCUUAGUUCCCCGACCAGGGAUCGAACCCAUACCUGCUGCAGUGGAAACACACCAGACUACCAGGGAAAUCCCUGUGUGGGAAUACAUGCUACCUCUUCUUAUCAGCAUUUGCCUGUAUGUAGCCUGAAUUCAUGGGCUUCCCUGAUGGCUCAGCGGUAAAGAAUCCACCUGCCAAUGCAGGAGACGUGGAUCCGAUCUUUGACUUAGGAAGAUCCCCUGGAGGAGAGCAUGGCAGCCCACUCCAGUAUUCUUGCCUGGAAAAUCCCAUGGACAGAGGAACUUGGCAGGCUGCAGUUCAUGGGAUCGCAAAAGAGUCAGACACAAGACUAAGCAACUAAAUAACAACAGCAAGCAACAACAGUUUGGAGGUCAUCCUGCAGCUCCACCAAGGCAAUUCUGAUCAAGGCUGUCUUGAACUGGAUGAGUGUCUUUUAUCCCUCAGCCUACCCCAAGGUGAUUCUUUGAGCAAACUUGUGUAUGAUGCCAACGGGCUCCGCAGAGCAUCCGAGAAACAUGCCCAGAGGUGCCAUUAGGAUGUGGGAAUUAUGAGGUGAGCAGGAAGAAGCCAAAAAACCAGGGAGCCACUUGAGCAGAGAGUAUAAACAUAAAUAUCCCCGAGCAGGCCCCGGCACUGGGUUUUUUAUGUUGAUGUGCUAAUCUGUUAUCCACUAAGGGUUUAUUUACGCCGUUUUGGUAUUCCCUGCAAUUCAUUUAUCUGCAUAAGGAAGAAGCACUAACAGGACAGUUCCUCAUGAACAAGCGUCCCUGUGUGAUCCCCACUGCUGUUUAUAAUCCUUCAUGCCCAGAUCUAUAAUUCAUGAGCCGAUGGUCUGGUGGCAGUUUCCAUAAAGGCCAUGCGGGGCACCCAGUCGUUAAGGCUCGCACUGUCAUGCAUGGAAUCAAAAUCAGCCCACUCUCCUUCUAUUCAUCACGACGCCACCGACAUGUGGGCAAUGAUAUUAUCCAAAUAUUAUUAAAACUUUGAACCCUGUCCCCAUAAAUUAUGGCCGAAUGGCUCCGUGGCCAUUAGGAGAGGGGAUGGAUGGGCUUCAGUUGCCGCCGAGUAAUUAUGUGCUUAAAAGGAAGCGUGGCUGCGCAUUCCGCUAGUAAAACAGAGAGAAGCUGGGCUCGUUUGUUACUGCUGGGGUGUUCGAAGCCGGAUCGCUCAGGCAGGUCAAGUCAACCUUACAGCAGGACAAUUAUCUGCCAAGAGAGACCAAACAUCUGUUAUUAAGUAUGUACAGACAUCAAGACAACAUGCUAAAAACCUCGUCCACUUCAAACACUUGGCGUAUUCCACACAACACCCCCCUCGCGUUUGGUUACUGCAGCCGUCAGCUUUGAAAUAUACCCUAUCUUCCCUCCCCCGGCCCCUCGCUUUAAUGUGCCCUGCAGCUGCUAAAGAUGGUGUUGUAACUUUAGAAGGACCUCGCUAUCUUUCUCCAACUCUUUAAGUAAUAAUCAUAAUUUUCAUUGUGGUUUUUUUUUUCUCCCCAACUUUCUUUUGCAUUGAUUAAUUAUUCAAGGAGUAUUGCUGGGGCAGAGAUAACGUGGGAAUGUGCAAGGUCAGCCCGUGUUUAGAUCAGAAGCCCCAAUUCUUCCUUUGAUUCCAGGAUGGGCAGCAACGGACAGGCUGGUAUGGUACAUGGGAAGAGAGAUGGUUCUGUGCUGGGUGCAGGAAAUGGGAAAGGGUGGGGGUUCAGGCUUUCAUGGUUCCCCGGGACCAUCUGUUUAUCUAUUGUGGGGAACAAGGGAGAGGCACCCAAAAAUCAGGUCAGAGGGAGUGGGGAGCAGGCUAGAAAACCAGGCUUCAGACCCAGAGAGUGGACAGAGCUGGGGAUGGGCAAGAUGGCUGGAUGAGGGCAGUGGAGUGGUGGCGGGGGGGAACCCAGGGAGAUAACAUUGUAAUCACUCCAGCUGAGAGCAUUUCCAGACGAGAAAACUGGAGUUGCGAUUUUCCUCUCAUAAAGAGGUGAAGUAUAAUAUCAAAUAAGGAGAGUGGGGCCAUGGUGUGCGGAGGAGGAAGAACAAUAUCUCCUUGUCUGCAUGACGUAGUAAUAACAGGCCAGAUUCCUUUCUUCUCAAACAGAAUGGAAGCUCCAGAUCUUCUGGGGGCACUUACAAUAUGAACAUCUUAAGGAUAUAUGAAGUCUGGAUUAGCUUCAAAGUAAUCCAGGCUGGAAAGGGGAUGGGCAGGGCUAUAGAUGAAACAAAAGGAGCCCUGCAUUAAUAAUGGCUGAAGCCCAGUCAUGGGUACCGGGGGAGGGGGGUGGUUUAUCAGAUGAUUCUCUACAUUUUGAUUAUAUCUAAAAAUUUACAUAAUAAAAAAUAUAUAUAUAUCAA